GAUGAACGCUAGCUACAGGCUUAACACAUGCAAGUCGAGGGGCAGCAUGAUUGAAGCUUGCUUCAAUUGAUGGCGACCGGCGCACGGGUGAGUAACACGUAUCCAACCUUCCGUACACUCAGGGAUAGCCUUUCGAAAGAAAGAUUAAUACCUGAUGGUAUCUUAAGCACACAUGUAAUUAAGAUUAAAGAUUUAUCGGUGUACGAUGGGGAUGCGUUCCAUUAGGUAGUAGGCGGGGUAACGGCCCACCUAGCCUACGAUGGAUAGGGGUUCUGAGAGGAAGGUCCCCCACAUUGGAACUGAGACACGGUCCAAACUCCUACGGGAGGCAGCAGUGAGGAAUAUUGGUCAAUGGACGAGAGUCUGAACCAGCCAAGUAGCGUGCAGGAUGACGGCCCUAUGGGUUGUAAACUGCUUUUAUAAGGGAAUAAAGUGAGUCUCGUGAGACUUUUUGCAUGUACCUUAUGAAUAAGGACCGGCUAAUUCCGUGCCAGCAG
rnacentral:rRNA from 1 species